UGAGGAACAUGACCUUCGGCGGGGGAGUAGCCGGCCCAACGGCCGGGUAAUACCGCGUACGACCACUUGGGACAUCCCUAGGUGGUGAAAGCAGCAAUGCGCCGAUGGAGUGCCUCGCGGCCUAUCAGCUAGUUGGUGAGGUAACGGCUCACCAAGGCGACGACGGGUAGCUGGUCUGAGAGGAUGGCCAGCCACAUUGGGACUGAGACACGGCCCAGACUCCUACGGGAGGCAG
rnacentral:rRNA from 1 species